rnacentral:rRNA from 1 species
GAUCCUGGCUCAGGAUGAACGCUAGCUACAGGCUUAACACAUGCAAGUCGCGGGGCAGCAUGAAGGAUGCUUGCAUCUUUUGAUGGCGACCGGCGCACGGGUGAGUAACGCGUAUCCAACCUGCCUGGUUACCACGGCACAGCCCGUCGAAAGGCGGAUUAAUGCCGUAUGUGGUCCUUUGCGGGCAUCUAAUUAGGACCAAAGGUUCGGCGGUAACGGAUGGGGAUGCGUCCGAUUAG